CAAAUUAGAGCUUGAAUAAAGUAUUUCAUUUACAUUGAAAUGAUAGUGUGUUAACCAUUUAAUUUGA
rnacentral:tRNA from 1 species